AGCAACACCUGCAACCACUAGGGAUUAUGGGUGGAACGGAAGGACUAAGGAGAGCUGAACUGGGAUCCCCCGCCAACCGGAAUCCAAGGCGCAGCGCAACCGCCGGGCUUUUUCGAGGACUGUUCGACGGUUUCCGAAGAGUUUGAAGUUUACUCUGUGCUCAGAGGAGGGGAAAACACAACGAUUGCCGGGUUUGUUGCGUGAUUUCAUUUGUAACAUACCCACCACCAGCACUUUUCGUGCCCCAAUUUGGUGUAAAAUACGCCCAGUAGAUUACAGCUUUUCUAAGAGCUUGGGGAUUCCAGAGCUGCAAACAACCACUGUUCCAUAAGCCUGUUGUCUUUUGACGUUUCCAGGCAGACAUCAACAUUGACAUUGUAAUUCAAUAGAAGCUGUGACUACAAAGGUGCUUUAUCCUUCUAGGUUAGUAUGGUUGCUACGGAAACAAUUCAGGAUGAAGCUGACUUUAUUUGUGGUUCUGCUUCACUUGGUUGGAAACAACGCCAACUAGCAAAGGUGCAAUUCAUUUAUAAUCACUGCUCCCAAAGUGUGUUGGUGAAAAUUUUUUAUAGAGAUCUAGCCCAUACUUAGAAAUUGUGGAACUGAAGAGGGAUGUGAAAAGCUUACCAUAUUUUAUUCCAUCUUACUUUGCGAGAGCUCAUACAACUUUUAAUCGUUAUGGAUCAGAUGUUUUCUAAAAAUUGCAUUGUGAAACAA